rnacentral:rRNA from 1 species
CCGGCGACCGGCGCACGGGUGAGUAACACGUAUGCAAUCCACCUGUAACGAGGGGGUAACCGGAGAAUCCGACUAAUACCCAUAAUAUGGGCGCUCCGCAUGGAGAGUUCAUUAAAGAGAGCAAUUUUGGUUACAGACGAGCAUGCGCUCCAUUAGCCAGUUGGCGGGGUAACGGCCCACCAAGGCGACGAUGGAUAGGGGUUCUGGGAGGAAGGUCCCCCACAUUGGAACUGAGACACGGUCCAA